UUCUGACCUUCUUGCCUGCCGGCUAUUGAGCAUCAGUGCUUCUAUAGAGCUGUGUGACCAGGUAGAGGUGGACACCCCAGAUUGAACUUGCUUACUGGUCAAUUCUUCUUCAUGUCACUUCUUAAAAAAGACACGGCGUGACCAUAGGCCUUCCUGAAGAAGAGUUGUGGCGUGACCUGUGGAGUAUCUGGCCACAUCACAGCCACAUCAGCAAGCUAUAACCGCAGAGAUCUCUUAAGGGACCUUUCAUUUGAAGAUCCCAAGAGCUGAGAUGGGUGGAGCCUGAACUGCAAGAAGACAAAGAAUAUAAUGACUGGCGGCCUAGACACCAUCUAGGACUACUAAAGCAAGAGCCACGGAGGAGGGAUGGUAGAACAGAAAGGCGGGACAACGCCUGAGAAUCUAGUAGGUAAAACCAUUGGCUCGUGCCAUCAAUUUCUGAACUUGUGGAAGGAAAAUAAAAUCUGACAUCACCAAG